AAAAUCUUACCUGUGGACAGCCUAGAUGUAACCACCACAGCUUGAAAGUUGUAAGCAAAUUUUACGGCUUCUAGAAGAUGCUAAAAAAAAAACCUGUUAUUUAAUGUUUGAUAGAAAAAGAUAGAUAGCGAAUCCAAGAGGCUUUUCCUAAAUAUUAGUAGUGUAAUCUAAGAACUAGAUUCGCAAGAGAUAUCAUUAAAAGUAAUUUCAGGUGGUCUGAAGAACAGUAUAAAAUGAUUGGAUGUCCCAUCACAUACAAUCAAAGCCCAAUGUGAAAUUCCAUAACCAGGCAGUUACAUUGCCUGAUGAUCACUUGUAAUAUGAUGAUAUGAUGCCACAAGUGUUAGAGGAGAAACUUGAUAGCCGACCUUAGGCCUUGCAGUUUGGGUGCAUUCUCCCAGAGCUUCCUCUGUAUCCAGCCACCUUUGGGCAUCAUUAACUGAAAUGAUUUUGCUGAUGAUUAUUAAAACAUCAAGGGUAUAGAUGAUCCUCAAACAAGAUUGCACCCACUAUUGCGAGGCCCGAGGUCAGCCUUUAGAAUUCCUCCUCAGUUUCCACUGAGAAUAUCAGUUUCAAUAUUCAGGCAAUCUCUAAAACUUAUUCCUUCUUCUCAGCCUGGUCAAAAUUUUGUUUCUGAAUUCUGACCCACAGAAACAUCUUGUAUAUUUAGUAAAUCUAUCUGCAUGUUCCAGAGUUAGCUCCACUCAGCCGACUGUCCUAUUUUUUGUGUUGGAAAUUUUCUUGCAUAUUGCUCACCAUUGAUUGUAGGUUUGCUGUUUCCAGAUAGGUUGAGGAUGUGACCUGGAGGGUUAACUUGUAAAGCCCAAGUAUUAAUAUCUGCUAAAAUUAAUAGAUCAUGAUAUGUCUUGAAGCAAAUCCAAUCUUGAACAUGAUUGAUCAGGGUGAGGACAUCGGAAAGAGGAAGAUCUUGUUCACACAUGCCUGCAAGAAUAUGCACUUUUGUGUUUUAAUCCCAACUCUGAUCCAAUGAAACUGGUAACUGUUAUAUGUGUUCUAGACGCUAGAGUAGUUAUUUUAUUGACAAAUGCUGACUUGCUAGUGAUUGCCUGCAGUAUGAUCCACAAUCCAGCCUUCACCAAUCUCUGGCACUGGUAAUUCAAGCUCCUUUUGGAAAUCCCAUGGCUUGCAUGACAAUCUCCAUCUUCAGGCCCAUCUGUCGAACAAGUUCUUUUGAACCUAAAGCAAAAACUUAAGUCAUGCACCAAAAAAUCAAUUGAACCUAAACCAUCAAGUGGAUCUAGAUUCAUUCUUAGCUUUCACUUUAACCUCUCCUCUAACAAACAGAGGCAUAGGACUACAUUCUUAUCACAAAUUACUCAGUUCCUUGUUAUUGAUCUCUUCGGGCAUCUUGGUGCAAAGAUGGAGCCAUUUCAGUCCCAAAGUUAGUGCAAACAGAAUUGAGUCCAAAGCUAAGUUGAAUCUUUAAUGAAUCUAAUCACUUUACAGGGCCGGCCUAGGGUCAAAUUGUAUUCAAGAAAUGCUGAUGUGCGUCUAAAAUGGAUUGAACAUACAUUUUACUUUUCAGGCGUAAUUUUUAACACGAAGAGCUACCUAUAUUUUUAUUAAUCUCAAAUGUAGGAAUUGUAAAUACUGGAGUCCCAGUAUACAGCAAUGAAGCUAUUAGGAUCACCGCAACAUUGACAUUGAUGCAUCCAUGUCAACAAAAGGGAAAAAAAGCAACGGAUUCGCAGAAAAUUGGCAGAGAAAAGAGGAAAUACUAUCAAGUGUGCUAGAAAAAAAACAAACCAGAGCUCAAGAAUUCUUGUAAUUGGGACUUUUUAUCAGAAAGUCAUGUAUUUUUGCUAAAUUUACUAACUUUUAAAGCACUAGCGCUACAAAUAAAUUUGGGAGUUUGCUUGUAACUGGCAGAACAGCUCAUUAUGAAAAUAAGAGUUCCAUAAAUGUAUAUUUAGAAUUAUCAGCUCUACAUCUUGCCAAAACAAAUUAGUAAUAUUUUCCCACUAAAAACUGCUAUUUCCAAAUUCACAGAAUAGCAGUGCCACAGUGAACUAUGACCUAAGAAAGUCAAAUCAAGGUUCAAAUUUCAAAUGGAAGAUGAGGAUGCAGUCUCAAGCUAAUCAAAAAAUCAAUAACAGUCAGCCAAAAUAGAUUUGAACAAUCUCUAUAACCAGAAAAAUAAAAAGAAAAAAAAUAUAUAAAUACCUUCGCUAAUAAAGAUAUCACUAAAAUACAAAAAAUACAUAUGUCAAUACACUGAAAACUGUGUUUCUUUGUCUGUAUUGAAAUCUGUGUUUUUUUAAUUUUUCAUUAGUAUUCCCACUUUAACAAAGUGAGGAUGCCCUCACUAGAUAAUGAUUAUCUCUAUAUAUAUAUAUUCUAAUUUGGAAGAUACUUACACUCAUGUGCCACCUGAGUUCCUUUCAUGUGGCGCAACUUUCAUCUUCUUCAAACACAUUCUAGAAGAGGAUCUUACUCUAAACAAUCAACUUAUCUCUUUUUUUUCUUUUUUGUUUAAAACCUUUUCAAUACCAAGAAUGGGAAGACAAAGAGUAAUGAAGUACAUAUUAACUGCUACUCUUGUAAGCUAUAUUUUGGUUCAUGGUCAAGGAUACUCAAUUGUUUUACAGAUCAUGAGGGAGGAACGCUGAUGCUAGAAGUUUUAGCUGAGCUUUAAAUGACAUAAAGAAAGAUAAAAGUUCCAAGCAAUUGCUGUAUAUAAUGUUAAUAUUUCUCAUCAAAUAGAAAAAGUGUAUAUCACUUUUCCGCUUCUGUGAGCAGAAUUUUCAAAUUAAAGAGAUGCAGAAAUACACCAAAGUUAGAACAUCAAGAAGAAAUAAAUUGAAUGCUUGAAAGACAUGAUCAGCCAAGCAAGAAACUUACAAUUUAGAAAGUUUGUUCAACAUUAAUAUCAUUUUAUAAUUUAGUGCAAACUAGUGAACUAUCUGGAAAAUGAUGUCCUUUUGGUUAGUUAUUCUGUUGUGAGAUGUGGCUUUAAUUGUGCACGAUAUUCCUAGUUCCUCCUUUACCACGCUGACAUGCAUCCUCUUUGAUGCUAUAAACGAUUAAUUUUUUAAUGCUUUCUCAAAUUAACCACAUUCAUAGAUGAACAGAUAGGGCAUCGCAAAGACACAAAAGGCCAAUUAAUUACAGUAAAAUAAUAACGUUAAACCGGGAGUUCAUGCAUAGAAGUUUAAGUUUAACUGAAAAGACUAUGUUGAAAAAAAGAGUUAGGUUGAAAUUUAAAUAUGGGUUUAACACUAUUUCAAAAAGUUGACUGAGUGUUUGAGUUAGCCGAGUAAAAUAUUUAUUGGUCAUACAGUUUGGUAAAAGCCAUGCUCUCAUCUACAUAAGAGAAGUAACAAGAAUUACAAAUCUGAUGAAAAUUGCAGAAAACUGCAAGCUUCAGACCUCUAUGUAGCAAUUCUAUACUUCCAGAGUUAACAGGCAACACGAGCUGCCACUUACAGUGGUAAUUCUAUAAAGGGUCUUGCUAAGUUAGUAAGUUACAUUUGAUGUAAAUUACAGCCAAACUAUUUCAGCCAAUGGCCCUACCACCUGUUACUUAUUUUUGUCUGGCUGAAAGUUACAUCAAAUAUAAUUUAUCCAACCACUAGCGCUUGGCCCAGUGGCUAGAACCACUCCCUCACAAGUGUGAGGGAACUGGUUCGAGCCCCCACAGACGCAUUGCAGGGGUUUAAUUUAAAUUUCCUUCCUCAAAACUUGAGUGAAGGCAGUCUUUCUCCUAGAUAUUACACUUGAUAGUACCACCUGUUACUUAUUUUUGUCUGGCUGAAUAUUUGAGAGGGUUAAAAUCUGAGCGGUGCCAUAUUAGAAUUGAUGUAAACUGGUCUCAGUAAUUUGUAUGGUUGUAAAUAUCAUGAGCAAUAGUUCUCCUAAAAAAAAAAUAUUAAUAAUAAUAAUUUAUCUAUAAAGAUGAUACAACUUAGUAUGACCCCAUAAAUCAUGACACUUUCAAUUCUUUCAUUAUUUUGGAGUGCUGUUUAUAAUGUACAACACUGUUUUCACUAUUUAACGUACUUUAAGGCAUAGGACACUCUUGGACUUAGAUCAAGUCUCAAUUUCAAUUGCUUUUCAGAAAAUUCAGAAAGAUGCUCUAAGGUAUUAAAUAAUGAGUGGUUGGCAGUUGAGACUGGUUAAAUAAUAGAGACAUAAAACUGCUAACACAGUUGCAACCGUUGAAUGCUUCCCACUUUUUAAAAUACAUUCACUGGCCCUACAAUUACAUCAAAGCAACGUUGCAUAAAAACUAGAGAGAGCUUCUAUUUCAUUGAUUAAUAAGCCAAAAGCCAAAAGGAAAAAAUUAUAUUUCAUAACUGGUCAAGCAAAAAAUUAAAUGAAAAGAUUUACCUGCACUACGACGAUGGUGCAACGAGUUGGACAUAAAAUCAGGCAAGGACCGUGAGAUUGACGAAUCACAGUUCAAUUCCUAAUUCUGAAUAUUGUAAUAAAGCAUUUGAUAAAAGGGCAAAAUAACAGAAAAAAGGAGGCUAGAUGAAUCCUGGAAGGCAUAUGAUUGAACAAGUCGGUUAAUAUUACAGGCCAAACGAAGAAAAACCAUUAUGCAUCUAUCUCAUAGGUGUUUAGCGAACUCAAAUUCAUUCCAAGCAUACAUGAUACUAGCUACUAAGCUUGUUCAUCACCACCCAUCUCUCCAAUGAUAGUUGAAUAAAAUAAUAAUAUACUCAAUCUUUUUUUUUUUAACUUGUUAUAAUUAUAUAGGUAUAUUACAAUCUGAAAUCUAUCAGGAUUCUAGAUAUACUACAAUUGUGCAUCAGUGGGGAUCAAACUCACGCCCUCGUGAGUUACCAGAGGGCGACUGGGCACAAUGGCCUACUCGAUCUUUUCUUACUUUCACAUUUAAUGUACAAAUAUAUCAUGCUGGGAGUAAAAACUUUGAGUUAAUCAGCUCUAGCAUUCUAGAAACCAAAAAAACCAAAUCAAAAGUUAUCCAUUAAUGAAGAUAAUAGACUUGCCAAUAAGUCCAAAGAUUCAUUUUGCACUAAGCAAAUUAAAUGGAUUUCUAGAAAGGCAAAAUUAUUAAAACAGCUUCAAUCAUAAGGCAGGUGCCUCUUAUCCAAGAAAUAAAAAUAAAAAAGGCAGGUGCCUUGUCAAAAGACCAAAUCCAACACAACAUCUUUUUCUUUGCUUUGUCUUCACACUUUUAAAACCAUAAUCUUGUCUAAUACAACGCAGCAUCAAAUUUAUUACCUCGUAAUUAAUUAAAAGUCUAAAAUCCAAUCUAAUACAACGAACCAUUGUAUUUUUUAACCAUUUUAAAUUUCAAAUCUCAAAUAGUAUUUUAUCAAAAACGUGCAACUUUUUUGAAACAUCAAGGAAACAUCAUCUACGCGAGCAAAGCAAAACUAGUAGCAGAAAACGACAAAAGAGUGCGAUGAUCAGUGUACCUUGAUUGUCAGCCGUCCGAUGAUCCUUUUGGCCUAUCUCAAACUUGAUCCGACGGCCGAAAUACGACAAGGAAAAUCCGUAAGGAUAAUCAAUAAUGUGAGGAGGAACCUUCCUUCUUGCAUC
rnacentral:lncRNA from 1 species